rnacentral:pre_miRNA from 1 species
GGAGACUGAUUUGACAGAAGAAAGAGAGCACAUUUGGCUGCACGCUCUUGGUUCUAGUGUGUCACUCAUGCGUGCUCUUCUUCUUCUGUCAUAUCGCAAC